GAUGAACGCUGGCGGCGUGCCUAAUACAUGCAAGUAGAACGCUGAAGCUUGGUGCUUGCACCGAGCGGAUGAGUUGCGAACGGGUGAGUAACGCGUAGGUAACCUGCCUCUUAGCGGGGGAUAACUAUUGGAAACGAUAGCUAAUACCGCAUAAAAGUCGAUAUCGCAUGAUAUUGAUUUGAAAGGUGCAAAUGCAUCACUAAGAGAUGGACCUGCGUUGUAUUAGCUAGUUGGUGAGGUAACGGCUCACCAAGGCGACGAUACAUAGCCGACCUGAGAGGGUGAUCGGCCACACUGGGACUGAGACACGGCCCAGACUCCUACGGGAGGCAGCAGUAGGGAAUCUUCGGCAAUAGGGGCAACCCUGACCGAGCAACGCCGCGUGAGUGAAGAAGGUUUUCGGAUCGUAAAGCUUUGUUGUAAGAGAAGAACGAGUGUGAGAGUGGAAAGUUCACACUGUGACGGUAACUUACCAGAAAGGGACGGCUAACUACGUG
rnacentral:rRNA from 1 species